CUACGGAGGGUGCGAGCGUUAAUCGGAAUUACUGGGCGUAAAGCGUACGUAGGCGGUUUGCUAAGUCAGAUGUGAAAGCCCCGGGCUUAACCUGGGAACUGCAUUUGAUACUGGCAGACUAGAGUAUGAUAGAGGGGGGUAGAAUUCCUGGUGUAGCGGUGAAAUGCGUAGAUAUCAGGAGGAAUACCAGUGGCGAAGGCGGCCCCCUGGAUCAAUACUGACGCUGAGGUACGAAAGCGUGGGGAGCGAACAGGAGUAGAAACCCUAGUAGUCC
rnacentral:rRNA from 1 species